CCAGGGGCUGGCCAAUGACCAGGCCGCCCGGGAUGAGCUAAUAAUGGAAGCAAUUUGUAACUUUCAGUAGCUCUCUAGGCCUGGGUACCGGAGGGAGGGAGGUGGGCAGAGGAGGGGAGAUGGGCACCCCCAGUCUUUCCAUCCUCCUCAUUCGACUAGGGGCACCCGAAUCCCCUAUUCCUUAUUUCCCCUAUCACUCAGGCACUGGCAGGGUCCUUUGCCCACUCCUGUUGGCCGCUGCGGCUCCAAAGCGAGCUGGGCAGAUGUGCCUGAGACAGGUUUGACCAGGCAACUGAAAAGACAUCCCUAAGAGAAGACAAAGCAAAGGUAUGAAAGGAACACACAUCCCUGACUGACUAGGAGGAACAGAGCUGCCUGCUGUCUGGAACCGCUUCCUCCAAGACUAAGGUUUCCCAGAGGAAGAGAGAGAAUUUGGACAAAUGAAUGAGGAACAAUGCUCUCCUGAGAGUUUCUUUAAGGGGCGAGAAUCACUGCCGCUAGCUCCUUUGAAAGCAGAAUUAAGAGGCAGUGCAGGAAGGCACAGCAGGAAGGCUCAUGGUUAGACUACAGAGAAGGAAGCAGCCACUGCUGGGGACCUACCCUGUGCUGGUCACUGACAAGCUGUCUCAUUAAACCUUUCCGGACCCUCAA
rnacentral:lncRNA from 1 species